GCCAAAUAUGCUAUCAAACAGUUAAAAAGUGAAAGUUGAAAUUUGAAUUUCAUUUUCUAUGAAAAAAUAACGUGCUAUCAAGCAUGCCGUAAAAGUUUCUUCUAGUGUACUUUUGACUGAAAUUAAAGCAAGAAAUGCCUUACUUACAGGACCCCUCACUGUGUAGGGGCCCCACAUGCAUUAAAAAAAAUAAAAUUACACGAGCCCCACGAAUGUGUGCGCCUAGCAACAGCCUGGUUCUGUAAGGCUAGCACUGUUCAAAGGCUGCAACUUGCAACAGCCCAUUGUGCCUAAGUAAUGGUUCUGGAGAUGGUUCCCGCCCUCGGAACUCCACAAAAACCUAAAUCACAAUUA
rnacentral:lncRNA from 1 species